rnacentral:rRNA from 1 species
GAAAGGCGUAGUCGAUGGGAACCAGGUGAAUAUUCCUGGGCCGGGAGAUGGUGACGAAUUCCGUAAGUUGUCAGUCCUUAUUGGAUUGGACUGGCAGUGAUGGAGUUCCAGGAAAUAGCCUCUCCAUUAGACCGUACCCUAAACCGACACAGGUGGACAGGUAGAGUAUACUAAGGCGCUUGAGAGAACGAUGCUGAAGGAACUCGGCAAAUUGCCCUCGUAACUUCGGGAGAAGAGGGCCCUGCCUUUGGGCAACCAUUGGCAGGGGGCACAGACCAGGGGGUAGCGACUGUUUACUAAAAACACAGG